CAAAUGACCAGGAAUUAGAGAUGCACCGAUUGACUGGCCGGUGACCGGAAUUGGCCAGUUUUCACGAGACCGGCCAUGACCAGC